rnacentral:rRNA from 1 species
GACGAACGCUGGCGGCGUGCUUAACACAUGCAAGUCGAACGGAAAGGCCCUGCUGGCAGGGUACUCGAGUGGCGAACGGGUGAGUAACACGUGGGUGAUCUGCCCUGCACUUCGUGAUAAGCCGGGGAAACUGGUUCUAAUACCUGAUAGGAGCCAUUUUUAGUGUGAUGGUUGGAAAGUUUUUUCGGUGUAGGAUGAGCUCGCGGCCUAUCAGCUUGUUGGUGGGGUAAUGGCCUACCAAGGCGGCGACGGGUAGCCGGCCUGAGAGGGUGGACGGCCACAUUGGGACUGAGAUACGGCCCAGACUCCUAAGGGAGGCAGCAGUGGGGAAUAUUGCACAAUGGGUGCAAGCCUGAUGAAGAGACGCCGCGUGGGGGAUGACGGCCUUCGGGUUGUAAACUCCUUUCGCUAGGGACGAAGCUUUUUGUGACGGUACCUAGAUAAGAAGCACCGGCUAACUACGUG